UACGGGGGGGGCAAGCGUUGUUCGGAAUUACUGGGCGUAAAGGGCUCCUAGGCGGCCAACUAAGUCAGACGUGAAAUCCCUCGGCUUAACCGGGGAACUGCGUCUGAUACUGGAUGGCUUGAGUUUGGGAGAGGGAUGCGGAAUUCCAGGUGUAGCGGUGAAAUGCGUAGAUAUCUGGAGGAACACCGGUGGCGAAGGCGGCAUCCUGGACCAACACUGACGCUGAGGAGCGAAAGCCAGGGGAGCAAACGGG
rnacentral:rRNA from 1 species